GUCAAAAGGCCUACAGAAAUGACAUUCAUAAAAAAGGAGGGACAAUAAUGAUAAUAAUUUAACAUGACACUACUAGACUUGAAGAUAAGAUGCAAAGUUUUCAAGGCCAGAAUUAGAAUAAGACUUUCAUCUCCAACAUUAAGGAAUCGCUUGCCCUCUCGAAACUUCCUACUUACCUGCAGUCUCUGCAAUAAAUUUUAUAUAUUAAUAAAACUUUUGAUAUCUAAUACCCA
rnacentral:lncRNA from 1 species